rnacentral:rRNA from 1 species
GAAGAAGCGCCGGCUAACUACGUGCCAGCAGCCGCGGUAAUACGUAGGGCGCAAGCGUUGUCCGGAAUUAUUGGGCGUAAAGAGCUCGUAGGCGGCUUGUUGCGUCGGAUGUGAAAGCCCGGGGCUUAACCCCGGGUCUGCAUUCGAUACGGGCAGGCUAGAGUUCGGUAGGGGAGAUCGGAAUUCCUGGUGUAGCGGUGAAAUGCGCAGAUAUCAGGAGGAACACCGGUGGCGAAGGCGGAUCUCUGGGCCGAUACUGACGCUGAGGAGCGAAAGCGUGGGGAGCGAACAGGAUUAGAUACCCUGGUAGUCCACGCCGUAAACGUUGGGAACUAGGUGUGGGCGACAUUCCACGUCGUCCGUGCCGCAGCUAACGCAUUAAGUUCCCCGCCUGGGGAGUACGGCCGCAAGGCUAAAACUCAAAGGAAUUGACGGGGGCCCGCACAAGCAGCGGAGCAUGUGGCUUAAUUCGACGCAACGCGAAGAACCUUACCAAGGCUUGACAUACACCGGAAACGGCCAGAGAUGGUCGCCCCCUUGUGGUCGGUGUACAGGUGGUGCA